rnacentral:tRNA from 1 species
GCGGGUGUGGCGAAACUGGUAGACGCACAGCACUCAAAAUGCUGCGACUUCGGUCGUGUCGGUUCGACCCCGACCACCCGCACCA